GUUGAAGCCUGAGCUGCUGGCGCUACCAAAGCCUAGAGAAUCAUCAAAGCCAAGAUCAUACAAAAUUGCUGUCCUUGGAAUACGACGAUAUAUACAGCAUGUGUGUACCUGCACUCAGACUGCCUCCUGUGGGCUUACUGGUGGAGGAGAAGGCAAAAGAAGAUCCCCCAGUCCCCACCCCACCAAAUGCUGGCCCACCACCAAAACCUGCAGGAGAAAGUAACAUGGAAGUGAAGUGGAGAACUUUCUAGAACUUGUAGGCAGUCAGACCUGGAGUUGGCUGCUGUUGCUGGGUCAAUGUGGCUGCCAUGGCAACUGCUGCAGCGUUGGGCACACUGGAGAAUGGGGCAGGUC